CAUUGGUCUCUAUAACGGCAGGCUCAUUGUAAACCGUCAAGAAUGGUGACUGAAUUAUUUUUUCAAAAAAAGAAUUAUAAAUUUGGACUCAAUCUCGACGGGCUGAAGUAAAACUGUCAAAAUUGUGUACCCAAUCUCGGCGGUCAUAGUUGGGCCUGCCGAAAUAGGCCACGAAUUUAAAGGAAAAAAAUUCAGGCCCAAAUCAUCUAUAUCUCUCUCUCAAAACCCUAGUCUUACCCACAAAACUCAGCUGCCACCCUAUUCCUUUCUCUCAACCAUUCCUUCUCUUCUCCUUUCUCGCAUGGACGACGGGGCUCAAAGGUUCUCUCUCACCGUCGAAGACUCACAAAAAAAUGAACGUUCUUGUUGCUCUCUCGUCGUUGAUGGCUCUCACCUAACCCCAACGAUAGUGUUGACUCAAUCCCAACCCCAAAACUUGAUGGCUCUCUCUCAGGGUCUCUCUUAUAUUGGCAGGGUCUCUCUUAUAGCGUGGAGUCUUCGUCUUCGUCAAUCUGGAGUGGAAUGUCGUUCAUGAAGCAGACAAGGUGGCGAAAGUGGUCAACAACAAAAGUGAAGACCCUAAUAUAAAUUGUAGCAAGGAGGUGUACAUGCGAAAUAGUGGAGAAUCAUACUGUGAGCUAUUGAAGAGGUUAGUCAAAGGAAUAGUGAGGUCUACUUGAUUGUCUUCAUGUAACGACUCAAAUGAGACUUGCUGAUGUUUUAUAAAGUAGGCUAACAAUAUAUUUCUGUAACUUUUAAAUAUUGAAUUCUUUUUUUUAUUAUUUAUGGCUCAGAUUUUGUAAUGGUGUUUUGAGAAGUUUUGGCUUAAUAUUAUGGAAUGCUAUUAGAUAUAUUAUUUGUAAUGUAUUGUAAUU